rnacentral:lncRNA from 1 species
AGUAGAUACCAAUAGGCACCAGCAAGUACCAGUGGGCACCAGUGAGUACCAGUGGGCACCAGUGAGUACCAAUGGGCACCAGUGGGUUCUAUGGGGUGCCAGUAGAUACCAAUAGGUACCAGCAAGUACCAGUGAGCACCAGUGAGUACCAAUGGGCACCAGGAGGUAUCAACACAUGCCAGUGAGUACGAGGGAGUGCCAGUGAGUACCAAUGAGUACCAGCAAGUACCAGUGGGCACCACUGAGUACCAAUAGGCACCAGGGGGUAUCAAGGGGUGCCAGUGAGUACCAAUGGGCAUUAAUGAAUACCAGUGGGUGCCAGUGAGUACCAAUGGGCACCAGUGGGUUCUAUGGGGUGCCAGCAGAUACCAAUGGGCACCAGUGGGCACCAGUGGGCACCAGUGGGCACCAGUAGGCACCAGUGGGUACCAGUGGGCACCAGUGGGUACCCCUGGCUCAGGUGAGCACCACCGAGUCCCAGUGUUGCCAACGGUGCCCGCGGUGCCCCACAGGGGUGCGCUCCGAGUUCGUGGUGAAGACGGCCAACGCCGGCGCCGGAGCGCUGUCGGUCACCAUCGACGGCCCCUCCAAGGUGACGUUGGACUGCGUGGAGUGCGCCGAGGGCCACCGCGUCACCUACACCCCCAUGGCGCCCGGCAACUACCUCAUCUCCAUCAAGUAUGGCGGCCCGCACCACAUCGUCGGCAGCCCCUUCAAGGCCAAGGUCACCGGCCCGCGGCUGUCGGGGGGUCACAGCCUGCACGAGACCUCCUCGGUGCUGGUGGAGACGGUGACCCGUGGGGCUCGGGGCCCCCCCGGCUUCGGGACCCUCCCCAAAUUCUCAUCGGAUGCCAGCAAGGUGGUGGCACGAGGGCCGGGGCUCAGCACCGCCUUCGUGGGGCAGAAGAACCACUUCACUGUCGACUGCAGCAAAGCGGGUGAGUGGGGGGCUGGGGGGGGCCGGGGGGUCUUUGGGGUCUGGGAUAAGUGGGGUCAGGGGGCUGGGAUCUGAGAUCUGGGA